GGAUGUGAGGGCGAUCUGGCUGCGACAUCUGUCACCCCAUUGAUCGCCAGGGUUGAUUCGGCUGAUCUGGCUGGCUAAGCGGGUGUCCCCUUCCUCCCUCACCGCUCCAUGUGCGUCCCUCUCGAAGCUGUGCGCUCGGUCGAAGAGGACGACCUUCCCCGAUAGAGGAGAGGACCGUUCUUCGGUCAAGGGUAUACGAGUAGCUGCGCUCCCCUGCUAGAACCUCCAAACAAGCUCUCAAGAAAUAACCAAUCAUAUCAGGAACAUACAAAAGAGACAAAUAAGCAAAACCUGCUGAUUACCAUCAGAGACAUAAUUUCUCUCAAGAAAUUUUU
rnacentral:snRNA from 1 species